rnacentral:rRNA from 1 species
UGGGGAAUUUUGGACAAUGGGCGAAAGCCUGAUCCAGCAAUGCCGCGUGUGUGAAGAAGGCCUUCGGGUUGUAAAGCACUUUUGUCCGGAAAGAAAUCCUUGGCUCUAAUACAGUCGGGGGAUGACGGUACCGGAAGAAUAAGCACCGGCUAACUACGUGCCAGCAGCCGCGGUAAUACGUAGGGUGCAAGCGUUAAUCGGAAUUACUGGGCGUAAAGCGUGCGCAGGCGGUUUGCUAAGACCGAUGUGAAAUCCCCGGGCUCAACCUGGGAACUGCAUUGGUGACUGGCAGGCUAGAGUAUGGCAGAGGGGGGUAGAAUUCCACGUGUAGCAGCGAAAUGCGUAGAGAUGUGGAGGAAUACCGAUGGCGAAGGCAGCCCCCUGGGCCAAUACUGACGCUCAUGCACGAAAGCGUGGGGGAGCAAACAGGAUUAGAUACCCUGGUAGUCCACGCCCUAAACGAUGUCAACUAGUUGUUGGGGGAUUCAUUUCCUUAGUAACGUAGCUAACGCGUGAAGUUGACCGCCUGGGGAGUACGGUCGC